CCGCGCCUCGCUGAGCGCUGCUGAGGCCAUCCCCGCCACCUAGCCGCCGCCCGCGGGCCCGGCCACCGCGGAGCCCAGCCGGGAACCACGGGAUUUGAGACGGUGGGCCCUGUCAGCAGAAUGUCUCCUCUCCCUGAGAGCGACCCCAAGGCCACCGAGAUGAGCACCGCGGCCAGGCCCGCGGGAGUGCCUGCGUCUCACUAGCCGGGAGCCGCAGGCCGCCUGCGCCUGCCCGCCGGGCCGCAGUGAUGUACUAGCCACAUCAGGGCCGCGACCUCCGGUUUCCACGGACUUGGGAUUUGCACGGCAGCAGAGUCACCGUGGAGAGGCCAGGGUAUCACAAACUUAUGGAUUUUGACAAGAAAGGAGGGAAAGGGGAGCUGGAGGAGGGCCGGAGAAUGUCCAAGACCGACGGGGGCCGCAGCAGCCACGGCAUCCGGAGCUCGGGGACCAGCUCGGGGGUCCUGAUGGUGGGCCCCAACUUCCGCGUCAGCAAGAAGAUCGGCUGUGGCAACUUCGGGGAGCUUCGCCUAGGGAAGAAUCUCUACACAAACGAAUACGUGGCUAUCAAACUGGAGCCAAUCAAGUCUCGGGCCCCACAGCUGCACCUGGAGUACCGGUUCUACAAGCAGCUCAGCACUGCAGAGGGCGUCCCUCAGGUCUACUACUUUGGCCCGUGCGGGAAGUACAACGCCAUGGUGCUGGAGCUGCUGGGUCCCAGCCUGGAGGACCUGUUUGACCUGUGUGACCGCACCUUCACGCUCAAGACGGUGCUCAUGAUCGCCAUCCAGCUGAUCACGCGCAUGGAGUACGUGCACACCAAGAGCCUCAUCUACCGGGAUGUGAAGCCUGAGAACUUCCUGGUGGGGCGCCCGGGGACCAAACGGCAGCACGCCAUCCACAUCAUCGACUUUGGGCUGGCCAAGGAGUACAUCGAUCCCGAGACCAAGAAGCACAUCCCGUACAGGGAGCACAAGAGCCUGACGGGCACUGCGCGCUACAUGAGCAUCAACACGCACCUGGGCAAAGAGCAGAGCCGCCGCGAUGACCUGGAGGCCCUGGGCCACAUGUUCAUGUACUUCCUGCGUGGCAGCCUGCCCUGGCAGGGGCUCAAGGCCAACACGCUCAAGGAGCGGUACCAGAAGAUCGGGGACACCAAGCGGGCCACGCCCAUCGAGGUGCUCUGUGAGAACUUCCCAGAGGAGAUGGCCACGUACCUGCGCUACGUGCGGUGCCUGGACUUCUUCGAGAAGCCGGACUACGACUACCUGCGGAAGCUCUUCACCGACCUCUUCGACCGCAGCGGCUUUGUGUUCGACUACGAGUACGACUGGGCUGGGAAGCCCCUGCCAACACCUAUUGGCACCGUCCACUCUGACCUGCCCUCCCAGUCUCAGAUCCGGGAAAAAGUCCAGCUGCACAGCAAAAACCAGGCACUCAACUCCACCAACGGGGAGCUGAACGCAGAUGACCCCACGGCUGGUCACUCCAAUGCCCCUAUCACAGCGCCCGCAGAGGUGGAGGUGGCUGAUGACACCAAAUGCUGCUGUUUCUUCAAGAGGAGAAAGAGAAAAUCAAUGCAGCGACACAAGUGACCCUGGGUGCAUGCAGUGCCGUGAAUCUGUGUGCAGCCCGACGGGCCGUGAGCUUGUCCACAAGGCCCUCCAGGCCCGCCUGUGGUGGCCCAGGGCCAGACUCUGGCUCGAAGCCAGGGCGCAGACUGCAGGGGCUGCUGGGGCCUGGGUCGGCCCGCCAGCCCCCACCCCCGGGACGUGGGGUCACUUCCUUCACGUAAGACUUUGGCCGAAAUUUCUACACCUGUGUCUAGUCCUCCCCUCCAAGAGCAUUAACUAUUUAAAACAAGGAAAAAAGGAAAAAAACAGAGGCCCACCCUGCCCUGUGCCCUCUCCCACUGGUUUCUCUGCUGAAGUGAGUAGUGUGGUCUCGGCGGCCCCAGCCCUGGGCAGCCGCCCCCGUUACCGUCAUAAAGUCCAGCUUGUCUC